AAGUCGCCGCUGAGAUUUUUGGCAGCGGCGAUGCGGUUCCGAUUGCCGCCAGGCAGCACAAUACUCCCAACACUAUCACCAACUUCAUUUUUCUGGAAAACGAAAAAAAACUAAUUGAGGAAAGUAAUUAAGAAGAAAAUAUCAGAUUGAUCGAUUAAUGAAAGUAGAGAUUUUACAAUAGAUUACUGUCGUUACAAUUCUAUUUAUCCCUCAUAAGAAUGCAAGUAUCGUUGCAUAAUAUAUGAAGAUGUUGUUAACUGAAUUACGAGAAUAAGGGAAGAACAUAAUCACGAGAAACAUAAUUUUCCCAGGACCAAGAAAGAGUUUCAUUUGACACUGGAGUUACUCUGACCUUCGGCUGGCGACAUCAGGAUUCCCAUGCAGUCGUAUUCUCACGGCUAACGAGAAAUCAAAAGGGUAGGGAAAGAAACCAGGAAAUUCACGACUAAUUAUUUUAAUGUGAAGAUGAAGAAAGUAAACAGAGAAACAAAAAAAAAUAAAAAUACAAAGUCACGAAAAAUUCAUGACUGAUGUUUGAUAUUCGAAGAAAGGCAUCGAUCUUUCUUCGAGGAUAAAGGAAGAGAGAAGAAAAAUAAGAAGAAACGAGGUACUCAUAUACGUAUAAUAUAAUUCGAUGUUCCAUUAUCUUUCUCCAAAAAGAAAUAAAAGAAAAGAGGUACAUGAAAUUCGCAAGAAAUUCAUCAUUAAAAAGUGCAUCCAUUUUUUUCAAACAGAAAGAAACAAAAAGAGGAAAACUGAGAGAACGAAGACCACCAAAUAUUCGCUUACUAUUUAUGUACGAGAUAGAUAUGCAAGAUUAAGCUUUCAUUAGAAGUUUACACAGAUGUUGUAGUUGUUAUUUAUAACUACUUUAGUUAUUCGCGAUUGCAGAUAAUGGAGUUCUUCUUAUAUUAAUCCAUAGGAAGUAUCGUUUCUUUACAUUAGAUAUCUUGGGUACAAAUAAGCUGUCGAUAUCAAUCUUCAUUUUGUAUAAUUGUUUGUCAUUGUUCUACUAACUUUAUCAAUACAUAUUUUAGAGAAAUCCUUAUCAUAAUGAAUCUCAUUCAAGAAUUCAAAGAAAAUUCCCCAUUCAAAAAAAAAAAAAGCCCAGAGGAACCAUGCAUUGCUUAUUAGAUAAUAAUCUAAUGCUGAACCAAACUCCUGUUAUAUGUACUUCCAAAAUCGAAGUAACUUCCUCAUCUUCAUCCCUAAAUCGCGUUAGCACAAUGGAUCGUAUUCAAGCUCUGGUUGACAAAAUGUGAGAAAUAUAAUAAAUAAGCUAUGGGUGUUUACGCGUUUAUGAAAAACAUUAAUCUGUAAAAAUGUACAGAAUGCACAUAGUAUGCAAAAAUAUUGCGAAAGGUGAAGUUAUCAUAAGAUUUAGACGUUGAAACGAAUCUCUGUUUAAGUUCCACUUGUUUAGUUAGAUUCAGAAAAAUACAAAUUUCGAUAAAAAUCUGUAGCUGAACAGUAGAAAAUCCCCUAUGCGAUAACAACUAAUAUCGGUUCGCAAACUAUCACAGCGAAUUACCAAGGUUACCACAUGACAAGAGCUAAGCCACUAUCGUUGCACACAGCAUCACUGCUAGGAUUCUCUCGAAACUCGAUUGGUAGAGUCUUCGAUCCGUGACAUUAUAAGUAUACAUCCACCGAUGGAACCGAAUCCGUUUCGAUCGUCGAAAGAGGGUAAAACUGCGCCACGUUUGCCCACUUGCUUCACGAAUUUCCACGAACGUCCACGAAUCGAAGAAGAGGGUUGAAGAUUAGAACUCCGAUAAGGGAGGUUCGUUAAGCUGACUUCCUUCGACUCACCUCACUU